AUUGAACGCUGGCGGCAGGCUUAACACAUGCAAGUCGAGCGGGGUGAUGGUGCUUGCACUAUCACUUAGCGGCGGACGGGUGAGUAAUGCUUAGGAAUCUGCCUAUUAGUGGGGGACAACAUCUCGAAAGGGAUGCUAAUACCGCAUACGUCCUACGGGAGAAAGCAGGGGAUCACUUGUGACCUUGCGCUAAUAGAUGAGCCUAAGUCGGAUUAGCUAGUUGGUGGGGUAAAGGCCUACCAAGGCGACGAUCUGUAGCGGGUCUGAGAGGAUGAUCCGCCCCACUGGGACUGAGACACGGCCCAGACUCCUACGGGAGGCAGCAGUGGAGAAUAUUGGACAAUGGGGGGAACCCUGAUCCAGCCAUGCCGCGUGUGUGAAGAAGGCCUUAUGGUUGUAAAGCACUUUAAGCGAGGAGGAGGCUCUUUUGGUUAAUACCCAUGAUGAGUGGACGUUACUCGCAGAAUAAGCACCGGCUAACUCUGUGCCAGCCGCCGCCGUAA
rnacentral:rRNA from 1 species